AUGAACAUGACACGUCGUCGUGGUACUUGUUGGUCUCAGUCGAGGCGGCAAAACGUAGUCGAACUUGAGGUGGCCUUGACGAUCCCAAAAACGUUCCUGCUCGAGGAGGUAUCUGUCUUGGUCUUCACCGGGCGUGGUACUUGGCGAAAGGGAUCUCCGAAGGCGGCCUUGCGUCCCUGGAUGCUUGGUUAUUUUGCAUGGUGGCCUUCAGUGGAUUUGGAGGAAACACGACGUGUGCAGGAGGCAAACGGCUCAAAACGUCCAUGGCCAAACAAGCUCACAACGAGAGAAAAAAUGGAGGGUCAACAGGCAGCGUGA
rnacentral:rRNA from 1 species